rnacentral:rRNA from 1 species
ACGUGAUCUGAGUUCAGACCGGAGUAAUCCAGGUCAGUUUCUAUCUAUAAAAAGCUCUUUCUAGUACGAAAGGACCGAAAAAGCAUAGCCAAUAUUACAUGCAAGCUAUUAUUAACAACUUAUGCAUAAAACUCAAUAAACACUUAUUCUAUACCACACCUCAAGAGAAAGAGA